rnacentral:rRNA from 1 species
GAGUUUGAUCCUGGCUCAGAACGAACGCUGGCGGCGUGCUUAACACAUGCAAGUCGAACGCGAAAGGGACUUUCGGUCCCGAGUAGAGUGGCGCACGGGUGAGUAACGCGUAAGUAAUCUACCCCUGUAUUCGGAAUACCCCACCGAAAGGUGAGCUAAUACCGGAUACGUUUAUCUUGAUGCGAAUGAUGAUAAAGAAAGGUGGCCUCUUCUUGAAAGCUACUGUACAGGGACGAGCUUGCGUACCAUUAGCUAGUUGGUAGGGUAAUGGCCUACCAAGGCGACGAUGGUUAGCGGGUCUGAGAGGAUGAUCCGCCACACUGGAACUGGAACACGGACCAGACUCCUACGGGAGGCAGCAGUGAGGAAUAUUGCGCAAUGGGGGCAACCCUGACGCAGCGACGCCGCGUGGAUGAUGAAGGCCCUUGGGUCGUAAAAUCCUGUCAGAUGGAAAGAAAUGCCACAGGGCUAAUAUCUUUGUGGUUUGACGGUACCAUCAAAGGAAGCACCGGCUAACUCCGUGCCAGCAGCCGCGGUAA